CUUCAUACACGGUCUUAACUACCACACACUUUCCAAAGACUUCCAUCGACUCAAUGUAUGUGUGUGUGUUUUACGACCCACCGGAGAAGCCCACCCCCGUGUCAGGGUUCGUAGUGGGGGCAUAAAGUGGGCCAAUGAGGGGUCUCCGCGGUGUAAAAGCUGCUGUUAACAGAGAAAGACGACAGGAAGUGUCAAGUCAGUCUCCACCAACAUCAGGCAGCUUGGAAGGUUUUCGCGCUCUUUUUUAAAAACACUGAAUUAAACGAUGGCUCACCUCUGCAUCUUCCUGCUGGUCGCCUCGGUGGUGGCUGAGCCUCUGAACAACAGUCUUGAGGAAAAUGAAAUUGAAGUCCUUACAAGCACACAACCCCACCUCAUCCAGAUCCAGGACCAGUUGACUGAAAAUCUCAUUGGAAAUCUCAGUGAGCCUACUCCAACUCACACACCUACUACAGUGGCUACUUUCAGUACUACAAGUGUUAGCCGAGCGUCCACUACGGCCACUAUCCAGGCCUCCAGUCUCGCUCCUCUGUGUCCCGGCAACCAGGUGAGGCUCGAGGGCAGCUCAGAGUGCAGCUGCCCAUCAUCGAACAUGCUGAAGGAUGGCGAUGUCUGCACCUGCCUCCCCGGCUUCAGUGCAGCGGGAUGUAAAGACAUUGAUGAGUGUGCAGAAGAGGAACCGUGCGGUCCUCACGCCAGCUGCACCAACACCCCCGGCUCAUACUCGUGUGGCUGUCACCGUGGUUACAUGGCAGGCGGUGGAGGGUGCCAGGAUAUAGACGAGUGUGCUCUGGCGGAACUGACGGGCCUGCAGGCCUGCAAGGACAAUGCACAGUGCACAAACACCCCUGGUUCCUUCACUUGCUCCUGCCUGAUGGGUUAUGUCAUGGCCCUGGAUGGACUAAACUGUGAAGACGUGGACGAGUGUAGCUUCAUGGAGCUGUGUAGCCGUGAGCUGGGAACUGUGUGCCUGAACAGCCCGGGUAGUUUUGUGUGUCAGUGUCGGCUAGGAUUCACAGCAGAGGCCCCGGUUUGUGUUGCUGCAACGUGUCCAAACGUCACCAAAUGUCAAGAUGUGGAUGAAUGCUUGGAAAGUCCCACCGUGUGUGAGGGUCGCGGGGUUUGUGAGAACACGCUCGGGAGUUACAAGUGUGUGUGCCCGCCCGGUUACCGGGGAAACGGCACCCACUGUGAAGAUACGAACGAGUGCGCAUCAGGUGUUCAUGGCUGCGACGUUAACGCUCGGUGUGGCAACAUCAUUGGCUCGUACUUCUGCCAGUGCUACCAGGGCUUCAAUGGAGAUGGACAUACUUGCUUUGAUAUUGAUGAGUGUGCUGUUGAUAAAGGACACUGUGACCACAACUGUACCAAUCAACCAGGUGGGUACACUUGCCAGUGUGCCUCUGGCUACCAGCUAAGCCAGGAUGAACGUAAAUGCACAGACGUAAACGAGUGUUUGUCCCUGAGUGGAAUCUGUGAGCACAUCUGUGACAACAUUCCGGGAUCUUAUCGGUGCUCUUGCAAGCCCGGCUACCAGCUUCACAUUGACGGUCACACCUGUGUGGACGUAGAUGAAUGCAAACUCCAGAACGGUGGCUGCUCCCACACCUGCAGCAAUUCUCCAGGGGGGCACGAUUGCCACUGCCCUCCUCCUCUGCUGCUACACACGGACAACUUCACCUGCAGCAACGUCACAUCUUGUAAACUGAGAAACGGCGGUUGCGAGCACGUGUGCGCGACCGGUGCUGAGGGCCAGGUCCAGUGUAGCUGCCGCACUGGGUGGAAGCUGAGCGAGGACCAGAGAGGUUGCGUGGACCUGGACGAGUGCGGGGACUUUACAAACGGAGGCUGUGAGCAGCUCUGUAAGAACCACCCGGGAGCCUUCAACUGUACCUGCAGGGAAGGCUAUCAGGUUCAAACAGACGACCGCACCAAGUGCCAGCCUGUGUGUGACCCUCCCUGUCGGAAUUACGGAGUGUGCGUGGCGCCAAACAGCUGUGACUGUCCUCCGGGAUACCCUGGCCUUGGCUGCUCAGCCAUGUGCUCCCCUCCUUGUGCGCAUGGAGGCACAUGUAUGCGCUGGAACAAGUGUCUGUGUCCUUCAGGCUGGACUGGAGAAGGCUGCCAUACGGCCGUGUGCGAGCUGCCGUGCGCCAACGGUGGUCGCUGUGUGGGCCCCGAUACCUGCCAGUGUCCUUCUGACUACACGGGCCCCCAGUGCCUCCUGCCCUUGUGCACACCUGCCUGUCAAAAUGGCGGUAGAUGCGUGGACGUGAAUAAAUGCACGUGUGUCAACGGAUGGCAUGGAGCUCGUUGCCAAAUAGAGCCUGUUCGGUGUCAGAAACCUUGUCAAAACGCUGGCGUGUGCGAAGGUCUCAACAGGUGUCGCUGUCCCAAAGGGUUUAUCGGACCUAUCUGUGAAACAGCCGUGACUACGCCCUGUGUGCCUCCAUGCCAGCACGGCGCCACCUGCAGUCCUCACAACACUUGCACCUGUCCGGAGGGCACGGCGGGCCUGCGCUGCGAGAGACUGACUUGCCCGGUGGUCACCACUGUGGUCAGCAUGGCUCGAGCAGUGAGAAAAGCCUUCAAGGAGAGCUACGUAGACCGUUGUGGACCCUUGGGGAUCCAGCUUUGCACCAAAUACAGGAUGAACCAAGCACGCGUGUACCUGCAAGCCUACAGGGUGGGCUACAAAAUCCAGUGUCCUGGGAAGCAAAGCGCUGUUUAAUAAACACCUGGUUCGCUGCAUUUCAGUCAAUGUUAAAGCAGCUAUCAGUCAGUUAAAACAUGGAAAGAAGACAACUUAAUCCUUAAAGUUUAAGUGUUUAGGGCACAUCCGACCGGUAGGAGGCCACGGGGAAGACCCAGGACAGGUUGGGAAGACUAUGUCUCCCGGCUGGCCUGGGAACGGCUCGGGAUCCCCUGGCAGGAACUGGACAACGUUGCUGGGGAGAGGAAAGUCUGUGCUUCCCUGCUUAGGCUGCUGCCCUUGCGACCCAAUCUCAGAUAAGCGGAAGAAAAUAGAUGGAUGGAGGUUUAAGUAACGUUUUUGUUCUUCACUGGUCGAAUUUAUGCUUUUUUUAUUGUCUAGUUUGAGCUCUGGUGGUGUAUUGGUACAUGUUGUUACCUUUCUUUUUUAGCAGGUGGUGCUGGUUUGAUUCCCGAAUA